CUAAAACCAAGAAAAAAAAGGUUGCAAAAAAAAAAAAAAAAAACAGUAGCAGUCAUCUAAUCUCUUUAAUUACUGUAAAUGGGAUUAGAAUACUUGUUACAUUUUUGUAUAAAAAUGUGUGGGGCUUUGAUUGACUGGUUUUAGAAUAAAACUGAUGGUGAUAUUUUUAAACUUGAAAAAACCUUUACACUUGAAAAGACCUUUACACCUGAUAGAUCAGUUUGGCACAUGGCAGUAUAAUAUAUGUAAUAUGCCACCAUAGGCAGGAAAUGACCUCCAGUUGGAUGUCUGAUAAUGCAUUAAAACGUUAUGCAAAAAAAAACCUCACCUUUUAAAUUCGCAAAGCUGUAAAGUAAG